rnacentral:tRNA from 1 species
UAUGGUGUGGCUCCGUGGAAGAGAACUUGCUAAGGGUGCAUGUGAGGUCCUGGGUUCAAUCCCCAGCACCACAA